GGAAGUAAAAGUCAUAACAAGGUUUCCGUAGGUGAACCUGCGGAAGGAUCAUUAAUGAGUUGUCAUGGGGUUCGAUGCUGGCAGCCAGUUUUUGGAUGCAUGUGCUUGCCCUAACAAUCUUCUUCUUCCAAACACCUGUGCACAUUUUUGAGGGAGUCUUGAGUUGGUUGCCGCUCUUGGGUGAUUUUCUCACAUUCCCUUAAAUCAUUAUACGCUAUUAACAAUGUUGAACGUGCUCUGUGCCGCAAGGCCAUUAAUAUAAUACAACUUUUAACAACGGAUCUCUUGGCUCUC
rnacentral:misc_RNA from 1 species